GUAGGUGGCAAGCGUUGUCCGGAUUUACUGGGCGUAAAGCGCGCGCAGGCGGCUCGCCAAGUCUGGGGUGAAAUCUCCCGGCUCAACCGGGAUAGGUCUCCAGAUACUGGCAGGCUUGAGGGGAGCAGAGGAGAGCGGAAUUCUCGGUGUAGCGGUGAUAUGCGUAGAUAUCGAGAGGAACACCAGUGGCGAAGGCGGCUCUCUGGGCUCCAUCUGACGCUGAGGCGCGAAAGCGUGGGGAGCGAACCGGAUUAGAUACCCGGGUAGUCCACGCUGUAAACGUUGGGCACUAGGUGUGGGGGGUAUUGACCCCCUCCGUGCCGUAGUUAACGCGAUAAGUGCCCCCGCCUGGGAGUACGGCCGCAAGGCUA
rnacentral:rRNA from 1 species